rnacentral:tRNA from 1 species
GCCUUCGUGGCUCAGCUGGUUAGAGCGCCGGUCUCAUAUCUGUCCUUCAUGAACAAUGUGAUUGUCGUUGGACAAGUCAUCCGGAGAUCGCCAGUUCGAUCCUGGCCGAGGGCA